CCUCCGCUCUCCCCGCACAGGAGAGCGGAACGAGGCCCGAGGCGCUCUCUGCCCUGACUGCGCCGAGGCCUCCGAUCGACCGGCCCCCAGGACGGGGCGGCGCCCCUGCCGCACAGGGGUCGCUCUCCCGCCCGUACGGCGGGCCGGCCGAUGUCAGCUCCGGGCUGCGGUGCCGGACAGGCUGAGGGUCCUGUCCCGGUGC
rnacentral:ncRNA from 1 species